rnacentral:rRNA from 1 species
UACGAAGGGGGCUAGCGUUGCUCGGAAUCACUGGGCGUAAAGCGCACGUAGGCGGAUUGCUAAGUCAGGGGUGAAAUCCUGGAGCUCAACUCCAGAACUGCCUUUGAUACUGGCGACCUUGAGUCCGGGAGAGGUGAGUGGAACUGCGAGUGUAGAGGUGAAAUCCGUAGAUAUUCGCAAGAACACCAGUGGCGAAGGCGACUCACUGGCCCGAUACUGACGCUGAUGCGCGAAAGCGUGGGGAGCAAACAGG